GCACCAGUAGCUCAAUGGAUAGAGCACUUGACUUCGGAUCAAGGUGUUGGGGGUUCGAGUCCUCUCUGGUGUGCCA
rnacentral:tRNA from 3 species